GCCUUGAAGAUGCAGGUCAUGCAGAGCUUUGCUGAAUGAAAACACGUCAGUACGACAGGAGCAUGUUGUUGAAAUGAUUUCAAUAUAUAUGAUUGACAUAUAUCCAUAGGACAUGCAGUUAGCCUAGACAAUUCUCUGUGAAGUUCAAGGACUUUCUUAGUCAAAUAUGGGAAGAUGUGAAAGGAUACAUAGAAAUCUUGGAGGACAAAUUGACGAGAGUCUUAAAAGACACAGAUAUGAAGAUAAACAAGAGGAAAAGAAUGCCAAACAUAGUUCAUUUUGUAGUUUAAAGGACUGC